AACUAUGGCCAUACCAGUCUGAAAGUGCCUGAUCUUGUCAGAUCUCAGAAGUCAUGCAGACUUGGGCCUGCUUAGUACUUGUAUGGGUGACCAACUAGGAACCUCAGGUGCUGUAAGUU